UACGGAGGAUGCGAGCGUUAUCCGGAUUUAUUGGGUUUAAAGGGUGCGUAGGCGGGAUGCCAAGUCAGCGGUAAAAAUGCGGUGCUCAACGCCGUCGAGCCGUUGAAACUGGCGUUCUUGAGUGGGCGAGAAGUAUGCGGAAUACGUGGUGUAGCGGUGAAAUGCAUAGAUAUCACGCAGAACUCCGAUUGCGAAGGCAGCAUACCGGCGCCCUACUGACGCUGAGGCACGAAAGCGUGGGUAUCGAACAGG
rnacentral:rRNA from 1 species